GACUAGUUGAGCUGUUAACUGUUUCGUCUUGUGGUAUGGCAAAACCUUCUUGAAGCUAGCACCUUAAAAAAAGUAUUCAUAAAGUGGAUUACUGAAGCCAUUUCAAAAUUAUUUGCAGAACAAGAGGACACAAGUGGAGUUAAAAGGUAAAUUUAAUAGUAAAUGGUCAAUUUAAUAGUAACACACGGUUUUCUUCACAGUUUUUAUUAAUGAAGCGAAUGAAUUGAAUAGCUUACCAGGGUUUCUGGUGGUAGCAGAAACUAUUCAAGACCAGGCUUGUCAUAGUGUUGGGUGUACUUAGCUUAGACUGUAGGCAAAAUGAAGUGCCUUAUUGAUGUUAAUGUGCAUUUUAGGACAAAACUUUUUUGAUUGGUGUACCAGAAUGUACAAAGCACAGGGUCUAAAUACAAAUUACGUUUGAUAACAAUGAAA